AUUUGGCCGUGAGGAGAAUUAAUUCAGCUUAAUGCCAGUUCUGCUUCUGAAAAUCGUGAUUGAUAGAGCUGUAGUAUAUUCUGAGCCUUAC
rfam:Medicago truncatula strain A17 chromosome 2, whole genome shotgun sequence.